rnacentral:tRNA from 1 species
GGUGCUGUACCUCAAGUGGUAGAGUACUUGCCUUGCAUGCAUGAGGCCCUGGGUUCGAUUCCUCAGCACCA